rnacentral:tRNA from 1 species
ACUUAGAUAGUUUAUAAAAAAAAUAUUAAUUUGUGGAGUUAAAGAAAUAAAAAGGUUAUUCUAGGUA